rnacentral:rRNA from 1 species
UACGUAGGUGGCAAGCGUUGUCCGGAUUUACUGGGCGUAAAGCGCGCGCAGGCGGUCGAUCAAGUCGCGUGUGAAAGCCCCCGGCUCAACUGGGGAGGGUCACGCGAUACUGAUCGACUCGAAGGCAGGAGAGGGUAGUGGAAUUCCCGGUGUAGUGGUGAAAUGCGUAGAUAUCGGGAGGAACACCAGUGGCGAAGGCGACUACCUGGCCUGUUCUUGACGCUGAGGCGCGAAAGCUAGGGGAGCAAACGGG